AUGGUGUGUGGUGUUGUCGGUUGGGGAUUCCGGUGGGUUUUUAGGAAUUCCGUGAUGACGUUGCUGAAUGAUGACGAAGAAGAUGAUGAUACGAGAUGACGGUGAUGAUGAUGAUGUGUUGGGGUGGCCGACGGCGGCACCGUCGGAGCUACAACAGAGGCGACGGUAAUGAGUAGGUCCUAUUUUGACUCGGAUCUGGUUCAAGUCGUGGACUCGAUUCCGGUGGUUCUGAUUUGGUUCAAGUUUUAAUUCAGAUCCGAUGCAAGUCAGUUAUCGGUCAACAUACGGGUUUCGGGUCAGAUUUGGUGCUCGGUCAACUCCAGUCAACAAAAGUCAGCGGUAAACGGCUCGGUCAACUGAGUCAACUCGGGUCAACCAGUCCACAUCAGGUCAAACACGGUCAACUCAGACCCGGUAAAGUUUUAAUGUCGCGAAGAGUAGUUUAGCUCGAUAUAGAUUCCAAAUUUUUAGUAGUUUACGCGACCGAGCUCGACCCGUUUCGUUUCGUUUUGGUAUUAGUUUACAUUUAUUAUACUCGACGAAAACUUUAUAUAGUUUGAUUAUAUGAUUGAAUGGUUGUUGAAAAUUGUUGAAUUUU
rnacentral:lncRNA from 1 species